rnacentral:snRNA from 1 species
UUGCUUUGGCAGCACAUAUACUAACAUUGGAAUGACACAGAGAAGAUUAGCAUGGCCCCUGCACAAGGAUGACACAUAAAUUCGUGAAGAGUUCAAUAUUUAA